GCCGCUGGCGUCGUUCUGCGUGCUGAUUGGUUGAGGCAGAACCUGAGGGAAGACAGACUGUCAGCGUGCGUUUGCGCGACACAGACCCCGCUGAUCGGUAAAAUGCAGGUUUUUCGAAAGGGACCACUUGGAUAUCUCUGUCAAGAUCCGACCAAUGCAGCUCGACUGAUAAAAGAUAACCUAUUUCUACAGGACAGGUCUGCACCCAUGAAGGAGCAGCCCCCUCGCCGUGGUCAGUCAGAGAGGAGGGGAUGUUUCAGGGUUGUCUGCAACUUUUUCUGUCAGCACCACAGUGAUGGAUGAAGAUGAAGAGCUGGAGAGAGCGAUACUGAGUAUCUCUCUUUCCAACCCGUCUGUGCACAGAUCUCCUGCUGCUGCUGCUGCAACGCCGCCAACAACAUCGACUGCCAGAGAAUGUACAGGCAUCAGGACCUGAAAGAGCUGUCUAACCAAAAGUCCUCCUGCGCCAGGACCACAAAUUGUUUUCCCAAACUGAAUCUUCACUUAAAUCUUUCCUUUUCAUCCCAAACAGCCGACUUGUACACACGGGUUACCCUGGGAUGGCAGGGAAGUAGGUUACCGACCUGCAAAGUUUUCUUUGUACAAGGAUCUGUAGAAUCAUGGAGAAGGAGAUGAAUAAAUUGGAGUGAAACAUCAAGGGCUGAA